rnacentral:rRNA from 1 species
AUUGAACGCUGGCGGCAGGCCUAACACAUGCAAGUCGAACGGAAACAGGGAGCUGGCUCCUGGAUUGAGGGGCGGAGGGGUGCGGAAUGCCUAGGAAUGGGCCUGUGAGUGGUGGAUAACGUCCAGAAAUGGGCGCUAAUACCGCAUACGCCCUGAGUGACAAAAGGGGGGAUCGUCGGAUUUCACGCUAUCAGCUGCGGCUAGGUCGGAUUAGCUAGUUGGUGGGGGAAAGGCACACCAAGGCGACGAUCCGUAACUGGUCUGAGAGGAUGAUCAGUCACACUGGAACUGAGACACGGUCCAGACUCCUACGGGAGGCAGCAGUGGGGAAUAUUGGACAAUGGGCGAAAGCCUGAUCCAGCCAUGCCGCGUGUAUGAAGAAGGUCUUCGGAUUGUAAAGCACUUUAAGUUGGGAGGAAGGGCAGUAAGUUAAUACCUUGCUGUUUUGACGUUACCCACAGAAUAAGCACCGGCUAACUUCGUG